CGGUGGUCACAGCGACAGGGACACGCCCGGACCCAUCCCGAACCCGGAAGCUAAGCCUGACAGCGCCGAUGGUACUGCACCCGCCAGGGUGCGGGAG
rnacentral:rRNA from 1 species